rnacentral:rRNA from 1 species
AGUGAACGCUGGCGGUAGGCCUAACACAUGCAAGUCGAACGGCAGCACAGUAAGAGCUUGCUCUUACGGGUGGCGAGUGGCGGACGGGUGAGGAAUACAUCGGAAUCUACUUUUUCGUGGGGGAUAACGUAGGGAAACUUACGCUAAUACCGCAUACGACCUACGGGUGAAAGCAGGGGAUCUUCGGACCUUGCGCGAUUGAAUGAGCCGAUGUCGGAUUAGCUAGUUGGCGGGGUAAAGGCCCACCAAGGCGACGAUCCGUAGCUGGUCUGAGAGGAUGAUCAGCCACACUGGAACGGGGCCAGGGUCCAAGACCCUACGGGGGGAAGAAGGGGGGAAUUUUGGAAAAGGGGGGGAAGCCUGAUCCAGCCAUACCGGGGGGGUGAAGAAGGCCUUCGGGUGGUAAAGCCCUUUUGUUGGGAAAGAAAAGCAGCAGGUUAAUACCCCGCUGUUCUGGCGGUACCCAAAGAAUAAGCACCGGCUAACUUCGG